GAUUUAGAUCAAUGAACCAACAAAAAUGUCAUGGUCUUAAAGGCACAUGUGCUUAUAGUUGGGCUCACUGGUAGAAUCUUAGCAUGAACCCCUUUCGCCCUUUGAUGAGUAAGCUCUAUAAGCCAGCUCGUCUGGCUGCCCUUGGUAAGUGAAUCGUGCUAUCCCCACUCAAAAAUGUCCCAUUUCCCGUGGAAGCAUUGACGCGUGAAUGUAGACCUGUUAUGGGUUGAACCCAUCCUAGUUUAUUUGCAUUCUCAGUUUGCAAACAUAUGAACUGCUUAUAUAUAGGCAAAGACAACGCUCUGCCUAAAUUAGAAAGAAAUGUACCACCAGAAUUGGAAUCCGUAAAAUAUGUCAAUUGUUGAUCACGUCACAUAUAUGUCGAAUACAACUUGGACAACAUUAUCAAGAACUAUUUACAAAGGAACCCACCGUCACUUAAUCAGGUCCCUGAACCCCACUUGUGAUAUUUGAUCGUCUUGCGGGGACUGUUUUUAGAGAUUCUUGAUUGUGUGUUUUUUUUAGAGUGUGUUUUGGGGCCUUCACAAAACUUAUUAUCUCGCACAUUCAAGUCAGCAAGUGUGUUCUUUGUUUAGCUGUGUGGUAGAUCCUGUCUUCCUUUGUGCAAACCAACUCUGAAUUAGAUUGCAAAUUUUAGGCUCCGUUUGGAACUUAGGGAGAGGAAAGGAAAAUAAAAGAGAAGGGAAAUGAGAGGAAAAUGGGAGGGAAAAUUUACUAUUCACUAAACUUGAAAUUUUUAUUUUCUUCUCUUUUCCCAACCAAACAAUGGAAGGGAAUUUUUUUUCUUUUCCUUGAGUUCAAAACAUAGCCUUAAUUUUAUAUGUUGUCGACAAUGCAUGCUGCUUUUCUAGUGUGUCAUGCAUGGACUGUAUGUUCCACAACUACUGUGCUAAAUGCUUUUACUUCUUUUUCUUUUGGGGACAAUCUGGCUUUAAAACUUAUGACGAUUUUGCUUUUCCUUAACAUGAACAAAAGGUUUCAGUUUAAUAUCCCCGCACGAUCCUGUUUUCCUUGUGAGCCUUUGAAUGCAUAUUUGUACUGGUUUGGAAAAUUAAGUUUCCUUUGUCAGCUUCUAGAAUUAGUUGGAGCAAACAAAUUCUAAAUGAACAAAAUGAUGGUGGAUGGACAAGAAUGGGUGCUAUUGGUUGAGAAUCUUUACCAGAUUUCUUUAAUUAAAGAUUCUCAUGUUUAGGAUAGUUCUCACUUCAUGCCGGAUGAAGGGUUAACGAUUCUCAUGUUUGGGAUAGUUAUCAUUUCAUGCAGGAUGAAGGGUUGGAUGUUAUAGCAGAGGGAUUGGAUACACUGGAAACUGGAAACAAGGAUAAUGACUUGAAUAAGGUUUGCUUUGCUGGUACAACUGACGCAAGUAUUCUUGUGCAUAUCUUGCUGGCUCUAUUUAUUUUAUUUUUUUGAGUAUUUGUGACAUGAAUUACAUAGGCAAGUGCCACUGAUGGAUGAAAUAGAUGACAAGGUUAGUCCUUCUGUAUUUUAACCAGUUUAUCAUCUUUCCACCUGUAGGAUAUAUGGCAUUACUUGAGGGAAAAAGAGCCUCAAUACCCUUCCAGACCAGCAUUGUGGAUGCAAAAGAAAGUCGAAAGAGAAAAUGAAGUAGAAUUCUUCUUUUUUUAAUGAUGCAUUGAAAAUGAUAAAAAUAUAAGUAAAUAUUUGUCAAAGCAAUGUAAAUUCUGUUUGUUUAUUUAAGAAAAGCUCAACAUAAAAUCUUCAAUUGAGGUUUUAGCGUUAAAAUGUGUUUGUCUACACUCAAUUCCAAGUUAACAGGGCAACUUCAGACCUUAAAAGUACUAAUGUGAGACUCAAGGAUACGGUGACAAAGGUAUAUUGUGAUGUUUCAGCCGAGGUUUAGUCGCAACUUCUGCAUAAUAUCAUCAUGUUGUGUAUAAUCCUGGUAAUUGCUGCAUAUUUAUACAAGAUUGAUUAGUUGUGUUUGCUUGUCAGAGCUCCGGCAAUAGAUAAGGGAGUUCUUCUCAUAGGUCAUUUACUCUCUCUAUUUUUGUUUUGAUGAGUUUUGGAGCUUCUGUGUAUUCUGAACUCCUAAAAACUACAUAGAUGAGGCACAAUUAUUGCACUUUUGCUGGAAGUUUUAUCCUCUUAUGUGCUGUUGCCUGGAUUUUCUCUCAGAUACUGUUCAUAGUUAGUAUGAUGAAUUUUCAUUGAUUACGGUAUUGGAACCCAAAAAUAUGACAUGCUCUACUUACGAGUGAACGAGUUCUUUGUUUUUUUGUUCAAAUUUUUUCUAGCUUGCAGUCUUACACCCCACAUAAAUCUUUGAAUGCACAAAUUUGAUCUAUGGCUACAGGAAUGCUAAAGGCAAUUGAAGUCUUCAACCCUACAAGACCCUACAAAAAUUCCAAUAAGGAAUACAAUUUAUCUUUUGGCAGGAAGAAACUCUUUUCUCAAUGACACGCGGUUUGCCUUUCAAAGGGAAUCGAUAUGAUACAGAAGCAUGUCCACUCCCAAACUUAUCAAUCAUGCUGAGAGUAUACAUGUACACUUAUGGAGCAAUUAGCCAAUAUGUGUUCAAUGUGCACUCCAUCUUCCACUCAAUUGCUGAUCAACAAGCACUUCAGGAAGCACCGCUCCAAAUUCUAGAACCGAAGACCCCGAAGAAACAUGGAAUCACCAACAAAUGAGAAUGACAUGGAAGAAGAUCAAGAUAUUAAAACCUCUGAAAAACAACCAAAAGAAGGAAUAGCUCUAAAAAUGAAUUGUCUUGUUACACCUCUUAAAAUAAUAGCCAUUGUAGCAAAUUUUUUAGUGUGCAUGAUUUGUAGCCAUAUAUAUUAUCCUAGCUUCACUAUUUCCCAGCACUAAAGGCAAAUCUUUUGGUUUAUAUGAUUUGCUUUUCAACU